rnacentral:ncRNA from 1 species
UUAAAUAAAAAUUCAAGUUCGUAUAUGCUCAAAAAUAUGGUUUGAGUGUUUCUACAGGAAACCUAAAUUUCCUAACUACGAAUGUAUAGUUU